rnacentral:rRNA from 2 species
UACAGAGGUCUCAAGCGUUGUUCGGAUUCAUUGGGCGUAAAGGGUGCGCAGGCGGUUGUGUAAGUCGGAUGUGAAAUCCCGGGGCUCAACCCCGGAACUGCAUUCGAUACUGCAUGACUAGAGGACUGGAGAGGAGAUUGGAAUUUACGGUGUAGCAGUGAAAUGCGUAGAUAUCGUAAGGAAGACCAGUGGCGAAGGCGAAUCUCUGGACAGUUCCUGACGCUCAUGCACGAAGGCUAGGGGAGCAAACGGG